rnacentral:rRNA from 1 species
GAUGAACGCUGGCGGCGUGCCUAACACAUGCAAGUCGAACGAAGCUUGACGGAUGAUUUCUUCGGAAUGAAACCAGAUAUGACUUAGUGGCGGACGGGUGAGUAACACGUGAGCAACCUGCCUUUCAGAGGGGGAUAACGGCUGGAAACGGUCGCUAAUACCGCAUGAUGUGUUCGGAUGGCAUCAUCUGAACAUCAAAGAUUUAUCGCUGAAAGAUGGGCUCGCGUCUGAUUAGAUAGUUGGUGGGGUAACGGCCUACCAAGUCUACGAUCAGUAGCCGGACUGAGAGGUUGGACGGCCACAUUGGGACUGAGAUACGGCCCAGACUCCUACGGGAGGCAGCAGUGGGGAAUAUUGCACAAUGGGGGAAACCCUGAUGCAGCAACGCCGCGUGAAGGAUGACGGUUUUCGGAUUGUAAACUUCUUUUCUUAGUGACGAAGACAGUGACGGUAGCUAAGGAAUAAGCAUCGGCUAACUACGUG